UAACACAGCAACCUCCAGGGGCCUGGUGGAGCUCCUCCACAGAUCAGGAGAUCAAAAAUGGAGGCUUCUUUUUAUUUUUCAUGUACCAGCAGCCAAGAUGGUGACUGUUUGCUCAGACAAUGUAUUUCACUCCGAUUUCUUUAUUCUACCUUAAAUCACACCCCGUUGUUUGGAACAAACAGUGCUGAACAGGAAGCAUUUUUUCCCGCUGACAUCCACACGCUCCCCACACGUCCUUGUUGUUGAUCCUGGUGUGUCAUGGUGAGCCACAGACACAAACCUCCCACCACAGUUUCACAGCAAUAGGCCAACACUUCACCCGUGUUUGCAUACUGAGUUUCUGCUUCAGCUUAUGUUGGUUCAGGAGUGGGUUUUAUAUUCUGUUGUUCAUCGUGCACUUUUUAAAGGACGAUGGGUUCUACUCGUUUCCUUGAAACAUCAGUUCCUUUCUGCCCCUCGUCCCUCAUCCUGUGUAGGAUGCAGCCACUUCACCACCAUUGGAAUUCAAGUGUCGUUUAUUGGCCCUUGUGUGUCCUUCCUCCCCCGUCCCUCCUUCCACCACUCCAGCCUCCCACCCCACCCACAGACAAGUCUGAUCAAGAAGCAGCGGCUCCUCGUAAUCAAGGCAGCAGGUUAUCAAGAUAAAAUUAGAGCCUCGUUCCAUCAGAUAGCUCUGUGGGUAGGAAGGAAGGAGCGAGAGGGGCAGCGGGGGAGGAGUGCCUGCAGCAGUAAAGGAUGUGACAACUAAACUCUUCUCACUGAGUCACUUGGUCGCGGUGGCAGCCUGGGGAGUGGCAGCCAGCAAAAAAAAAAAAAAAAAAUCACAAGAAAAUGAGAGUCCGACCCCCCACAUCCUGCUCCCCGUCUUUUUGCCACUGAUUAGGGGAAGUUAGAAGGAGACAGACAAUGUAUGAGUCAGGCCUGCUCCAACAUCAGCUCCUCUGACAGAGUCUGAGGAUGAUAUGGGAAGAGGAAAUGUCAAACUGACUGUUGGUGAAGUCAUGGAUUGAUGUGUGUGUGAGCGUGUGUGUGACACACAAGCACCACGAUCAGACGCACACAGGCCUCAAUAUACAGCUCAUGAUCCGUGUGGCUGAUGAAAUCACACAGGAUUUGAUUGUCUGUUUAUCAUCUGGAGUCUAAUGACAAAUGAUGUGACAAGUCAGGGUGUUUCGUGCUGCGGUCGUCAGUAGGCAGCGAAAAAUAAACCUGAUUCACUGCACGCGUCUGCACAAAGACAUCUUCUGCCCGGCGCUCAGAUUUCCAGACCCAGCGCCGACGAGCGAAGGCAGCAGUGGAACAGAUCUCUCACCUGAAUAAGAAGAGGUUCUGAAUGUUUCGUUCCAUGCCAGCAAGUCCCAGCACCAGCAGCAACAACUAUAACAACUAUACAUGUCUGGAAAUAAAAGCUGGAACCCAUCAAAGCAUGCACGCCUGCCUUUAAGCAGGGGCCACAGCUGCGCAUCAGGGAUCACUGCAGCCCAUUUGCUCUCUUCUCGGCCACACCUGCUCCCUGUGAAAACAUUAUGCGCGUGUGUCAUGAGUAGGUGAGCGCAUGUGUGUGUGCGUGAAUCCGACUAUACGUGCUUCCUACGACGUGGGCACUCCCCAGACGCCACCUGCUCCCACAGCGCCUGUCUGGUACAUCUUUCCAUUCCUGCCUCUGUCUUUCCGUCCGCUGAGUGGGAGAGCGCCUGCGUCAGCGUGUACUUCCAGAUACGGGAUCCUGACGAGCCGGGGGAGUGGAGCAUCUGGCCAUGCGAUCGGGUUCGGGCUUCGCCGCUAACGCGCCGCAGCGUGCUUUGAAAGCGUCCGGCUCUGCAGUGCGUUCCCACAUCACGCAUCUCUGCAUCACAAACAGCACAAGCCCAGUUUGCCACCACCUGAGCCCUGAAAUGUUUCUACGCCAUGAAAGUUCCUCGCGGGGCUUUUAUUUUGAACAAUAACAAUGAAUAGAGAAAAGAUGAACUGCCAUCUGCUUAGGGUGAUGAGCACACUCUGUCUCUGUCUCUCUCUCCGUCUCUCUCUCUCUCUCUGUCUCUCUCUCUCUCUUUCUCUCUCUCUUCCUGCUUCUCUUGCCCAAGAGUCUGGCUGGCCUCAAAGAGCCAUGACGUGACGGUGAGCAGUGGGUGGAAAUGGGGGUUGAGUCAGGCGUUUGAAGGAGCAGUGUGUGUGUGUGUGUGUGUGUGUGUGUGUGUGUGUGUGUGUGUGUGCGUGUGUGCGUGUGUGCGUGUGUGCGUGUGUGCGCGCGCCAUCGGGGGCCAUCCUAUCAUGACUUGGACCCAGGAAUACCGAGCAUUCUCCUCUCACAUUGGCGAGUUGGCAGCCUCUCGUUGACUGGAUGGAGUCUGAGUGUGCGGUUACUCAUGGCGCUGACAUUUGUUAUUGCUGUCUCCGAUCAAAAACAAGAGCCAGCAUGUGACUGCAUUCAGCAGCACUCCUUCGCAUACUUGGUAUUAGAGACAAGGCGAAGGCAGGGUUCCAGUCGCCGGGUGGUUUUUGGGGGAGUCCUCUUGUUCACUAUGACUUCCAAAGGCCCACGCAUGCGCAUACACAGCGGUGCUCCAUGUGGCACAUGCCAAGCGACAAAGCUUCUCCUCCAGCUGUCUGAGCAUUUUGAUCCAUACCGUAAUGAAUUAAAUGUUUGUUAUUAGGUAGGUUUAUCUGGCUUCAACCUAACACAGCAACACUACAUCAUUUUUCAUCAGGGGCCAUAAACUGUUGCUAUGGGUUAUUACUUUUCAUAUAGUCAUUGUGUGAUUUUUCUUCCAGAAGUAAAAUAUUUACUUCAAGCUAUUUGUGGUUUCUGCGCUGAAACUCCUUGUUUGGCAGAUUUUUGGUACCAACUGGAAUUCCAGUCCGCUGUCCUCAGUGGUCAGCUGAAGUGAGAUGACUAAUGUGGGCCUUAUUGGGAAACAGCAUCAUCAUCUGGAGGCUCCGUCAGCAAACCAGGAAGCACCUGUGCAGCGGCGGGGGCAGCGUGGUGAGCGGGCGAACACAUCCCAGAGAAGGUGGCCCAUUGUGUUCAGGGCUUUUUAUAAGUUGCAUGGAAAACGGGGGAAUUCUGGACAGGAAGCGACUCGAUGCAGUCAAAUACCACAUCACUGCAAUCAGCAUUAUUGUACGGUGAAAACAGCACAAAACAAGAAAAACAAGCACGUCUGCAGUGUGAUUCAUUCGUCAACACCAAUUGUAAACAAGGCUUUAUAUUUAUUUUUUGAAAUAUGAGGGGAAAUAUUUCUACAAACUGGAAAAAAAUGGUGUUGUAACUGGUGUUACACCCACCUCCCAGCAUCUGCUUUUCCUUUUUAUCACAGAACUUGAAAUGUUAAAGUUCAGCAGCCAGAACACUUAGGCUGCAAAUAGUAAACAGUGACAGUGAACCUCAGGGCACAGAUUUAAAAAUAAAAAGAUUUUUCUAGAUCUUCUUUUUCGGAUCAACGGGAAAAAAAAAUAGCUGAGGCAGAAAAUGUAUUUUUAUACUAGCAGAACUAAACCAGAUAGCUGUGCAAGCUUAAGCUUUUCUUGAAAACAUGGGGAAUUGCUAAACUACUGUCAGUGGAGCAAGUCAAUGUAAAAUAACAAGCAACUUAACUGUACACAAUAAUAAAAAAUAUGGAAAGCUGCUAACACCACAGAUCGCUGUGAGUGGAAUGCUUAC